rnacentral:tRNA from 1 species
GAGGGUAUAGUUCAGUGGUAGAGCACUGUGCUUAGCAUGCACAAGGUCCUGGGGUUCAAUCCCCAGCACCUCCA